rnacentral:rRNA from 1 species
UACGUAGGGUGCAAGCGUUAAUCGGAAUUACUGGGCGUAAAGCGUGCGCAGGCGGUUAUAUAAGACAGUUGUGAAAUCCCCGGGCUCAACCUGGGGAACUGCAUCUGUGACUGUAUAGCUAGAGUACGGUAGAGGGGGAUGGAAUUCCGCGUGUAGCAGUGAAAUGCGUAGAUAUGCGGAGGAACACCGAUGGCGAAGGCAAUCCCCUGGACCUGUACUGACGCUCAUGCACGAAAGGCGUGGGGAGCAAACAGG